UAUACAUGACUUUCCAAGUAUCGGUGCCGAA
rnacentral:piRNA from 1 species